AUACGGCCAUAUCAUGUUUAAACUCUGGUUCUCAUGCGAUCGCCAUAGUUAAGCAACGUCGAGCCUGAUCAGUACCCACUUUGGGGACCACUUGGGAAUACAAGA